GCGGUACCGCUGCGCGUGCGCGGGGCGCGGGGCCGUUUCCAUGGCAGCGGGAGCCAACAGGGAGGCGCCGCCAUGAGCCCGCCCGAGGUGGAGCCGCUCGUGUGCCAGAAGUACGAGAUCAAGAGGCGCCUGGGCAAGGGGGCCUACGGCAUCGUCUGGAAAGCAAUCGACCGCAGGACAGGAGAAAUAGUUGCUGUUAAAAAGAUUUUUGAUGCUUUCAGAAACAGGACAGAUGCUCAGAGAACGUUUCGAGAGAUUAUGUUCCUGCAGGAAUUUGGAGAACAUCCAAAUAUCAUCAAGCUGCUCGAUGUUAUCCAAGCUGAGAAUGACAAGGAUAUCUACCUCAUCUUCGAGUCCAUGGAGACAGAUUUACAUGCUGUUAUUAAGAAGGGGAAUUUGCUGAAAGACAUCCACAAGUGUUACAUUCUCUACCAGCUCCUGAAGGCAACUAAAUUCAUCCACUCGGGGAAUGUCAUUCACAGGGAUCAGAAGCCUUCCAAUAUCCUGCUGGAUGCAGAGUGCUGUGUGAAGCUGUGUGACUUCGGGCUGGCCCGUUCCCUGUGCCAGCAGGGCGAGGAGCAGCCCAGCCCCGCGCUGACCGAGUACGUGGCCACGCGCUGGUACCGCGCCCCCGAGAUCCUCCUGGCCUCUCGCAGUUACACUAAAGGUGUAGACAUGUGGAGCAUUGGCUGUAUUCUGGGAGAGAUGCUGCUUGGGAAGCCUCUUUUCCCUGGAACAUCAACAAUGAAUCAAAUAGAACAGAUCCUAAGGGUCAUCCCUGCUCCGUCCCCAGAAGAUAUUGUGGCUCUGCAGUCAGAGUACAAGGCCUCAGUUAUUAACCACAUGAGUUCCCGGCAGCGAGUAACAUUUGAGGAGAUUUUCCCAUCCUCUACUCCACUACCUGCCUUGGAUCUGCUGAAGAAACUUCUGGUAUUUAACCCUGACAAACGGCUCACAGCAGAGGAGGCUCUGCAGCAUCCUUAUGUGAACAGAUUCCACUGUCCUUCCAGGGAGCCCUCUUUGGAUUAUAAUGUGGUCCUUCCUUUGGGUGAUGAUGUCCAGCUGUCUGUGGCAGAAUAUCGAAAUAAAUUAUAUGAGUUGAUCCUUGAAAAAAAAUCAAGGAGCCUUCUAAAGGAGCGAGGGCGGAGAGAAAACAUUCAGCUGAGCCAGUCUGAAUCCAGCCCACUUCUCCCAAAUUUCAGCCCAGUGACUGUACCCACCAGAAAAGUCCAGCAAGAACCAGCACCUCCUCUCCUAAACCCUUCACAUGUGCAUGCAGGAGCCACAGCUGGAGUCCAGCCAACAGGAUCCAGCCAGAGCAAGGAUUUGGCCAGAACUGUGUGUCAGAGAUCACAGAUCAGUGUGAUGAUGUACAACCCCAUCACACACACCACUGUGCAGAGAAAUGCAAAUCCUGGUGCUGGGAUCAGGAACUUUUCUGCACCACCUCAGCAACCCAGAAUCUCCACCAGUGGGAAACUAGGGAGACAAAUCUCAUGGACAAACACUGGGCUCCCUCCUACAAGUGUGCAGAACCUUUACAAUAAUCCCAGAAACUCUCAGUGUCACAGCAAAGAUGUUCGUCCCCUUCUGAAGCCCAGUAAAAAGAUGUUCCAGAUCACUGCAAAUGUGGGAGCUGCGGGUGAUCCAAGAGCAUCGAUGGGCAGCUACUCCCAGGCCUAUGGAACCAUCAGUAAAUCUGCGCUGCAGAGUCUUCCGAUAACAAAGGCCUCCCAAAACCCCGAGUGAAUGUGGAGACGUUCCAGCCAGAAAGCAGAGUUCCAUGAGAUACUAUUGCUGAGACAUCGUGAAGGUGUUACCAGGCUACAGUGGGACUACAGGAAACUUUAUAUUCCUGUUUUAAUGCGGAUUUUGGAUACAUUCUCCUCAUUAACUUGAAGUUCUUGUCUGUGUCCCUGAAGUUUUACUCCACCUGUGAUAAAUGAUUGUUAUUCCAGAACAUUGGAACUACAGUUACCAAGGGGAUUCAGGUGCUGAAUUCCAGCAUGUAACCUGAAACAGCUUUGGUGUGGGUGACUGUGCCCCGCUCUGUGUCCUUGCCCACGGCUUUGUACUUCUCCAGCAGCUCAGCCACUUUGGAGGAGGUGGCCGUCUUGAUGGUUUCAUUGUCCUUCGUCACCUCACUGGACAUCUGCUCUUUUUGGAUCAUCUGCACCUUUUCUAUUGUGGUGUUGGGCUGAUCUAAUUUGGCAGCACUGAAAAUCAGAGAGGACCUGAGCCUGGAACUCCUCUGGAUCAAGGGAUUUAUCCUGGACCUGAAGGCAUCUGGUUUCAUUAUCGAGGUUUCUUCACCUGCUCUAUCAGGAUCCGCAAAUUCCUUGGCACUGUCAAUUCCCAGUGCCUUGCUAUUGAAAGAUGUGGGGGAUUUGAAGGCUGGGAUGAGGUCAGCGGGGUGCUUUGGGAGGGGAUCCCCAAGAGCAUCAUUAUACGCCUCGGACUCCAUCGGCAUUGGGAGCCCUUCAUCCGGUUCAGACUGGUACGCGCUGAGGUACGAAGAUAUCCUCCAGUUCCGUAACCCUGUUCUGUUUUCCUGUGUGUUCUUGUCAUCGUCCUGGUCCUCGUCCUUGUCCUGUAGGAACAAGCGCUGCUCCAGGCUCUGCUUCUGCGUGGGAGAAGUCUGGCAAAUGAAUUUCUGUCCUAUAUUCUGCCUCCGUAACAUCAUUCCCAUCGGGCCAUUGCCUGCAGGGUUCAGCUGGUCGGAGCCGUGUCUCACCUCCCUGGAAGAAUUUGAGGGUACGUAAUCCAGCCGUAAGGGGAAACCUUCCUGUGAGAAACUGGGUUCCAGUUCAGGGUAUCGGGGUCCCUCUCCAUAGUCUUCCAGUUCAUUGAAUCCCGGCCUUCCCCCUCGAAUCCUGUCAAAGAAUCCCUGAGGUCUGCCAGAGAGAUGGGGAUGUUCAAACUGGUACUGGUAGAACUGGUCCUUCUGGAAAUGACUGGAUUGGAUUUUGAACUCAUCCAUGUUGUUCAUGAACAUCUGCCGGGCAUACUGCUUGGAAGAAGCAAAAUUUUCAAAUGUUCCUUCUGCAAAACUGUGUCUCUUAAAGGCAUCCAGCUCUAGCUGCUUGGAACGGAGGAAGCCCCUGACCGGAUCCAUCUGGGAAUUCUCCAUUUCCACCUUUUUAUACAUCCGCAUGGCUGACCCCUCCACGGUGUGCCGCAGCAUGUCAUCCCGCCGAAAAUUGGAGAGGAAGUACCUGUCCGGAUCCACUCUGUCCAUGAAGGAGGGGAAGAGACUGUCAUCCCUCUGGAACAUCAGGGGGCCUUUUUUGGGAAAGAAAGGCAUGUUAUUGCCAAAGGGAGCCAUGGCGAAGGCAUUCUCUGCCUUUGCCAGGACAUUGGCUGGAGGAACGAGAGGUUCCGACUGUGCAAACAAAAUGCGGAAUUCCUCAUCAAAGCUGGCCACCAGCUCGCCCUGGAAGAUGUGCGCGAUGCUCCUGUGGAUCUUCUCGAAGGACCACAUGAAACUACGGAGAGAACAGAAGUGAUGGAGGGUAUUAGCAUUGAGUAACUCAGCCGUACCCCUUUUCAUUAAAGCGUUUGCUUGCCUGAAGGAAAUUCUGAAUUUUCUGCUCAGGUAGAAAUAUGGCAAAAUAAUGACAGAAAAUUCCCCUGUAGCCACUUGUUACACAUGAUCGUUCCCUAACCUCACAGUUAGGUAUUGAUUUGGGAUCACAUCUUUGCAGAGGAUUUUACAAGGCAACAAAUGACUUCUGUUCUAAAAAGCCAGUCAGUAGUGUCCACAGCCAGAGAAUGAGGGGAUGAUUAUUGUUAUGUGAAGUAGAUGUUUCUGUCUUUAACACUGUCGAUAAUGACUGGGACAACAGUCAGUGUGUGCCCUCUGCACUUGGCAGGUGACACCAGUCAGGGGACCCCAAAGGCUGGGGAGCUGUGCCAAUGGGAACCUCAGGAAAUCGAGCAGAGGCAAAUGCAGGAUCUUGCCCCUGCAGUGGCACAACCCUUCCACCCACAUAGGCUAGGGGGGACUGGACAGAAGGAGCUGGGCUGGAAAUGAGGGAGGAAGAUGUUCAGUGUUACAGCCUUUGUCUUCCCAAGUCAAGCUCUGCUUUUCUGGGAAUGGCUGGAUAUCUGCCGACCCGUGGGAAGCAGGGAAGAGAUCCCUUACUUUGCUUUGCCUGUGUGUGCCUGUUUGCUGUAGGUGUUAAACUGUAUCACAACCCA